GGGGGCUUAAGCUGAUGUUGAACAAAAACUGCUCCUUCAGAAGGUUGGGAAGGGAAGGAGUCGAAUAACUAAGAAGCUUCCGGACGGCUUGAAGGUCGUCCUCCCCCAGGCUGGGGGCCCGACGGACAGAGUCCCUCAAGGAGCCCCAAGGGGGCAGUCCUAGCUUCAAGGUCGGGCACUGGACGUAGAGGUACUUCCCCUUCCAAUUAUGGAAUGAAGAGGGAGCAUCCUUUAGUAACCCCUUCUUGCUGAACUGGGAGGAGAAGUACCACCAG
rnacentral:lncRNA from 1 species